CAUCGUCCCUGUCAGGAAGACUCAGCUCCGCAGCAUAAGCGGUUAGAAAAGUUAGACAACUAACUGAUAUUGAUUCCGCUCGUCUAGUAUAUUUUGGUUAUUUUCACAGUAUUAUGUCAUAUGGCAUAUUACUUUGGGGUAAUGCUGCAGAUAUUGAAUCUUUUUUUAUUUUACAAAAGAGAGCAAUCCGGUCUAUUUAUAAUCUUGGAGCUAGAGACUCUCUUCGGGAUGUUUUUAACAAAGUAGGAAUACUCACUGUUGCGUCACAGUAUAUUUACAACAAUAUUAUCUAUAUAUCACAGUAGCAUUGAUCACUUUUAUAAAAUCAGUGAUAAUCAUUGUAUGUGCACGAGGAGGAAGGAUAAGCUUAUAACGCCAAGUUUGCCGCUCCACAAAGUCAAUAAAUCCUUCUUGGGGCAAGGUAUCCUCAUUUGUAAAAUAUACAUCGGUAAAGAAGGCAUAUUAUUCGAUACAAGAUUUUAUAGAUGAUAAAAAAGCGUGGAGUUAAUACUUGUUGACUUCCAGGCAG